rnacentral:rRNA from 1 species
GAUGAACGCUAGCUACAGGCUUAACACAUGCAAGUCGAGGGGUAACGAGAGGAAAGCUUGCUUUCCUUGUCGACGACCGGCGCACGGGUGAGUAACGCGUAUCCAACCUGCCCCCAACUAGGGAAUAACCUUGCGAAAGUAAGACUAAUACCCUAUAAUUUCCUCAGAUGACAUCUGACGAGGAAUAAAGAUUUAUCGGUUGUGGAUGGGGAUGCGUCUGAUUAGCUUGUUGGCGGGGUAACGGCCCACCAAGGCAACGAUCAGUAGGGGUUCUGUGAGGAAAGUCCCCCACAUUGGAACUGAGACACGGUCCAAACUCCUACGGGAGGCAGCAGUGAGGAAUAUUGGUCAAUGGGCGGAAGCCUGAACCAGCCAAGUAGCGUGCAGGAUGACGGCCCUAUGGGUUGUAAACUGCUUUUAUACAGGAAUAAAGUUAGCCACGUGUGGUUAUUUGUAGGUACUGUAUGAAUAAGGACCGGCUAAUUCCGUGCCAGCAGCCGCCGUAA